rnacentral:rRNA from 1 species
GGAGCUUGACUGCGAGACCUACAAGUCGAGCAGGGACGAAAGUCGGGCUUAGUGAUCCGGUGGUUCCGCAUGGAAGGGCCAUCGCUCAACGGAUAAAAGCUACCCCGGGGAUAACAGGCUUAUCUCCCCCAAGAGUCCACAUCGACGGGGAGGUUUGGCACCUCGAUGUCGGCUCAUCGCAUCCUGGGGCUGUAGUCGGUCCCAAGGGUUGGGCUGUUCGCCCAUUAAAGCGGUACGCGAGCUGGGUUCAGAACGUCGUGAGACAGUUCGGUCCCUAUCCGUCGUGGGCGUAGGAAAUUUGAGAGGAGCUGUCCUUAGUACGAGAGGACCGGGAUGGACGCACCGCUGGUGUACCAGUUGUUCUGCCAAGGGCAUAGCUGGGUAGCUAUGUGCGGAAGGGAUAAGUGCUGAAAGCAUCUAAGCAUGAAGCCCCCCUCAAGAUGAGAUUUCCCAUAGCGUAAGCUAGUAAGAUCCCUGAAAGAUGAUCAGGUUGAUAGGUUCGAGGUGGAAGCAUGGUGACAUGUGGAGCUGACGAAUACUAAUAGAUCGAGGACUUAACCAUAUAA